rnacentral:rRNA from 1 species
AGGGUGUAAACGCUGCGGGCUUGGUGUUGGGGGUCCUUUGAGGGCGCCCAGUGCCGGAGAGAAGUUGUUAAGCCUGCUGCUUGGGGAGUACGUCCGCAAGGAUGAAACUUAAAGGAAUUGGCGGGGGAGCACCGCAACGGGAGGAGCGUGCGGUUUAAUUGGAUUCAACGCCGGAAAACUCAUCGGGAGCGACAGCAGUAUGAUUGCCAGGUUGAUGACCUUGCUUGACAAGCUGAGAGGAGGUGCAUGGCGUAGUCGUGU